GUAACCGAAAAGUUGCAAGAUUGAAUCCCUGAGCUGACAAGAAAAAGAUUGCCUGGGACAAGCAUUAAGGGUCCCAAACAUGCUGGCAGCUGGAUGGUUCUUUUGUGACCGAGACAAAGUCGACUGCUUUGUAGGAGGAGCAUCAGACACACCAACUGAGGAGUGCCCGGGAUUUCAAGCAGGGAAUGUGCUGUGAUCCAAACCCAAAACCCAAAAACUGGACAUACAGUAACUGGUGUGUUUGGGAUGGCGUGCAGGCACGAGCAUCUACUGAAGUUCCUGAACCUGAAGAGAGGAGAGAACCUGGAGAUAAGGUUGAAGGCCACGGAGAAGAGAAACUGGAUUGUACACUACACUGCGCAGCAAUUUUGGAAAGUCUGCAAACUAAGAAGACUCACUGUCUGCUGGCCACAAUCCAUAGGCUUGUCCUGGAGUGCUCUUUCUAUUGUGGCCUGGUCAGAAAGUAUGCGGGUACUGAAGCCAAUUCAGUGUUGAACACUGCAUCACGCCCUGGCAUAUCACUGCUGUUGUUAACUCAUUCACCCAGAUGCUUUGAACUAUAUGAAAGAAUUCUAUCAAACUUCAAGAUUUUCAUUAGCAUUUCUUAAAAUAGUUUUUCAGAUGGACAAACCAUUGCUGUGCGGCUCUCCAGAAAUAUCAAGCAGACAUCAGAGAAUAAAACAGCAGAUCAACGCCUACAAUGGAAGGAACAAGUCACCUCAAUUCCCCCCAAUACUUGGGCAAAGUGUGGCCGAGCCAACAUGCUUUCACCUGGGUGCCCUCUGUGCUGUCCGAAAUGAAAUGCAGAACAUAUUAAAGCUCCAGCAAGCAUUUUCAAUGUUGGCUGGUGAUGGCCCAGUCAGCACAGAUGAAGAGGAGGACAGUGAUUCAGAAACUGAAAGUGGUUGAGGAAUGAAUGUUUGUGUGUGCGUGUGAGUUCUAUAGGGACAAACUAUACACAGAGUAUUCCACAAAUUAGGAACACCUUCCUAAUAUUGAGUUGCACCCCCCCUCCACCUUUUGCCCUCA